rnacentral:misc_RNA from 1 species
CUGGCUCUGUGCUUGGGGUGGGACUCGAUAGCUGUGGCUGACUCCCCCAGUUGGCUGGCGGAACGACAGCCAACGGCACCACAUCGAGGAUGUCUGGCAACAGCGGUCCUCCUUGUAUCGGGGACCAUAUGCGGAGCGGUGGUGCUCAACGGCGAGGCAGGUUCCGGCGUCGAGGUGGGUUCCAGCGUCGAGGCGGUCCCCAAUGGUGAGGACCCACCGAGAUGCGGCGGGGCGGUGCUAUCUGCCCGUCAACAAGAUCUUGCAUUGCACGGUCGAGUGCACGACGCAGAGAAGAAAUGUUGA